rnacentral:tRNA from 1 species
GGGCCUGUAGCUCAGCGGUUAGAGCACCCGGCUCAUAACCGGUCGGUCGGUGGUUCGAAUCCACCCGGGCCCACCA